AGUGAGCGCUGGCGGUAGGCCUAACACAUGCAAGUCGAACGGCAGCACAGGAGAGCUUGCUCUCUAGGUGGCGAGUGGCGGACGGGUGAGGAAUACAUCGGAAUCUGCCCAGUCGUGGGGGAUAACGUAGGGAAACUUACGCUAAUACCGCAUACGACCUUCGGGUGAAAGAGGGGGAUCGCAAGACCUCUCGCGAUUGGAUGAGCCGAUGUCGGAUUAGCUAGUUAGCGGGGUAAUGGCCCACCAAGGCGACGAUCCGUAGCUGGUCUGAGAGGAUGAUCAGCCACACUGGAACUGAGACACGGUCCAGACUCCUACGGGAGGCAGCAGUGGGGAAUAUUGGACAAUGGGCGCAAGCCUGAUCCAGCCAUACCGCGUGGGUGAAGAAGGCCUUCGGGUUGUAAAGCCCUUUUGUUGGGAAAGAAAUCUUUCAGGCUAAUACCCUGGGAGGAUGACGGUACCCAAAGAAUAAGCACCGGCUAACUUCGUG
rnacentral:rRNA from 1 species